rnacentral:misc_RNA from 1 species
GAUGAAGAACGUAGCGAAAUGCGAUAACUAAUGUGAAUUGCAGAAUUCAGUGAAUCAUCGAGUCUUUGAACGCACAUUGCGCCCCCUGGUAUUCCGGGGGGCAUGCCUGUCCGAGCGUCAUUGCUGCCCUCAAGCACGGCUUGUGUGUUGGGCUCCGUCCCCCCGGGGACGAGUCCGAAAGGCAGCGGCGGCACCGAGUCCGGUCCUCGAGCGUAUGGGGCUUUGUCACCCGCUCUGUAGGCCCGGCCGGCGCCAGCCGACAACCAAUCAUCCUUUUUUCAGGUUGACCUCGGAUCAGGUAGGGAUACCCGCUGAACUUAAGCAUAUCAAUAAGCGGAGGA